rnacentral:rRNA from 1 species
GAUGAACGCUGGCGGCGUGCUUAACACAUGCAAGUCGAACGGAAAGGCACCUGCUUGCAGGGGUACUCGAGUGGCGAACGGGUGCGUAACACGUGGGUGAUCUGCCCUGCACUUCGGGAGAAGCCUGGGAAACUGGGCCUAAUCCCGGAUCGGACCACACCUUGGAUGGUGUGGUGGAAAGUUUUUCGGCGUGGGAUGAGCUCGCGGCCUAUCAGCGUGUUGGUGGGGUAAUGGCCUACCAAGGCGUCGACGGGUAGCCGGCCUGAGAGGGUGUAGGGCCAGUUUGGGACUGAGAUGCGGCCCAGACUGCGACGGGAUGCAGCAGUGGGGAAUAUUGGACAAUGGGCGAAAGCCUGAUGCAGCGACGCCGCGUGGGUGAUGAGGGCCUUCGGGGUGUAAACUCCUUUCGCUAGGGACGAAGCGUUUUUGUGACGGUACCUGAAGAAGAAGCACCGGCUAACUACGUG